CCUACGGGUGGCUGCAGUGAGGAAUAUUGGUCAAUGGCCGCAAGUCUGAACCAGCCAUGCCGCGUGCAGGACGAAGGUUCUAUGAAUUGUAAACUUCUUUUGUACGGGGACAAAUUCAGCCUCGAGUAUCUGAUUGAGCGUACCGUACGAAUAAGCAUCGGCUAACUCCGUGCCAGCAGCCGCGGUAAUACGGCGGAUUCCAGCGUUAUCCGGAUUUAUUUGGUUUAAAGGGUGCGUAGGCGGGUCUUUAAGUUAGAGGUUAAAUCCCGGGGCUCAACCCCGGCACUGCCGCUGAUACUGGCGGGCUAGAGAUGACUAGAGGUAUGCGGAAUGUGUGGUGUAGCGGUGAAAUGCUUAGAUAUUACGCAGAACACCGAGUGCGAAGGCAGCAUACCAAAGUAGGACUGACGUUGAGGCACGAAAGCGUGGGGAGCGAACAGGAUUAGAUACCCGAGUAGUC
rnacentral:rRNA from 1 species